UUAAUAGUCAUCAUUCAUAUAAAAAACCUAAAACUCGCAAUAAUGAAAUUUUGAGUUCUUAUAGUUCAAGUAAAUUUCUUCAGUCAUCAAGACAGAAAAGAACACAUCCUAUUGACCCAGAGGGUGAUGAUUCUCUUUGCCGAAAACAUUAUAAAAGUUGUACUUAUUGUGGUUCAACAGUAUUAUUAACCGAUGAUGAUAAUAAUAAGUCAAUUAAAAUUGGCAAAUCUACAGAAACUGAUUUAGCUGGAGAUCUCGUAACAGUUGCACCUAGUAGAAUAUUCAAUAGAAGUGGAAGAACACAAGUUUUUAAAAGAAUUAGUAUAAAAAGUGUAUUAGAUGAAGUAUUUGAUGAGCCAGAACCUACACCUUUCACAAGUAUUGAGAAAAUAGAACAAAAAAAGAAUAAUGCUGUUAAAGAGGCUUUGGUAACAUGGUGAGCGGAAAAAAUGUGGUAGAAAUGAAUGACAGAAGAGACAAUACUUGAUUUUCAGAUGCUCUAUUUUAACUCUCAGUGUUUAAUCUAUAUUUAUAUUUUUCUAAUUAUAUAUUUGUUUUAUUCUGUUUAAUCUUUUUUUUCUGAUUUUUUUUUCUAUAAUAACUAUUUUUUUGUUUUUAUCUAAAAUUAUUGUCAUAUACAUACGUGUUUUAUUUUAUUUUGCUUUUGAAUAAUUUUCCUUAUACUUGUAAAUGUAUACUUUUCGUUAUGUGAAUAAAAAGAAAUGAUUGUUAAUAAUUUGGUUUCAAUUAAUAAAAUAUUUCGUUUUUUAAAUCUAUAUCAUAUUUAAGCUUUUAAUGUGAACUAAAAUAAAAAAAAAAAAUUCUCUCAUCGAGUUUUUUACAAUGUGAAAUUGACCAUCAAAGUAAAAACCUCUCUAGAUACUAUUGGCUCGCAAGCGCCAUAGAGCUUAUAACUAAAAAACCCUAAGAUGGCGGUGACAAUGCAGACAUAGAGAGAAGAUUAUGCAACA